ACCCGCGCGGGCCGCGCCGGCGCCUUCCCUGCAGCCCCAGCGCGCCGCGCCCGCUCCCCCGCCGACGGCCGUCGCUUUCUCCGCUCUCGGGCCUCCCCCGUCCGCCCCGUCGCCCGCACUCAAGCCCCGGCGGGCCCCCGCCGCCUCCUUCGCUCUCAGACCCUUGAACCCGGCACCGACCACCGCGCGUCGACCCCAGGGCUCGGCGGCGGCGCCGCCCCCACCGCCCCCCAAGCCCUCCAAGGUCCCCGGCCACGGGGACGCGGCGCCGGCCACGCCGCCGCUCGUGCAGCCGCAGGCCGGCCCCCCUCGGGCCCCGGCUUGCCCACCCGCUCCUGGUCGCCCUUUGCCUCCAGUAAAGGUGAAAAACCUGCAGAUUGUGGCCCAGCUGCAGGCUGCCCUGCAGCAGUCCCAGGCCCAGCGUCCUGCGAGCCCCCGGUGACUCAUCGCCUCCUCUCCACGAGACGACCAAAGGGGAGCGACUCCAGGCAACCACCAGCAGCCGUGGUGGCCUCAAGGUUCAAGCGGCUAGCCUGCCCCACCAGGGUUUCCUCCGAUCACUCGUACCGCAUAAAGUGUGGCCGACUGAAUUGACACAAAGCGCCGGCGAGUGCCGCUCAUAUAGACCCAGCCACGCGUGGUGGCAUUACCCCCGUAGUCCAGUCACCUGGCGGUAGGAUUUGUUGCUUGAACGGAGAUGGAGCCUGCAUCAGACGACUGCUGAGCAGUAAAGUUCACAUGUGACGCGUGCAACGCAGACAUAAUGUUUUGUGUCUAACUCUUAUGAGUUUUAGUUUUCAUCUGUCAUGUGCGUGGCGUUUCUCUCUGUCGGCAGUUUCCUCUCACACCUGACAGAAAUGCAAUAAGGGAAUUUCCAAUAUCGUGAAGCAAGACAUUGCAGAAAAUGUUUUGAGGCUCAGUGAAAUAGUGAAAUAUUAUCUUAGAAUGACAUUUUUGUUUUACUCCACCUGAUGGUGUAAGUCUUUACCUUUCGUUUUAAAUGCUCGGGCAGAUAAACCUGGAAGGAAAUGGACCCCUGAGCUUUGUAUGACAUGGGCACCCAAAGCUAACGUUGUUUGAAAGUGGUACUUGGACAACCUCCUCUUGUAUCAGCCACUCUCAAAUCUCCUCCUGCACUCACAACGUGUGCCUUCACAAGAGAACACAAUAGGCGUCAUCUCAAUAAAAUAUUGUUUAAUGUUUAAUUGCUACAGCGGUGAAUAAGGCAUUUACUCUUGACAUAUGUUUGUACAGGCAUACCUUAAGCUGUGUAAAACAAAACUGUUAUACAGUCUCCACACUUCCACAGCGCAACACAUCGCACAUUAAACAUCUCACCAUGGUAGCGAUGGAUAUUUUGUUUUAAUAAAUGCACCACAUGUGUUGUAGGUUAAUAACUCAGGUGGCAUAAAAGGCAGCAAUACAGCACCCUUCAAUGGUCUAUCUCAUGCAACGAAGGAGCUCUCUUGUGACAGAGCUGGGGUUGGAUUAAUUGUAAAACCACGUUUUUUUUUCUUUCUUAUUUUGUACAGCCAUCAGUUAAUCAAAACAAUGAAAGCGUUCCCACACUCUUGCAAGCGUUGGCUGGGAUCAUCGUCAUUGGUGAUCCUCAGCCAGUAUCAUAAAUUCCACAGAGAGAGGGGAGUAAGACCACCACUUCCCAAAAAAGUGGUGCUGAUUUUAACGACUCUGCGGGGAUGAUGGGCUAAAUUGAUCUCCAGCCAGAAUUUUGAUUCGUGCACUCUGAUUACGCGUCUACCACUCUACCCACAGCUCCACCCGGUUAAAUCAUUUGUAAAUCGCCCAAGAAGGAUGAACAAACACCCAUGGGGGCAUCGUGCUUUCGUGUCGGGCUGUGUCCACAGAUCAAAUGUGAAGUCUCAAGAGUGCAGGCUCAGUGUUCUCACGUGCACGGAGCGUGAGCCGUCCGAGCCAACCAAUCACCUCUGCCUUGAUCAAAAUUUUAUAUUGUUCAUUCCGGCGCGUGUUUCCACUGCAAACACCAAUUUACAAUUUACACCCAAGUGCACCUCCUCCUACGUGACUGGAGCUCAUAAACCCGUCCCUGGUGCACCGCAUGCCCAAUUGAGAUGAGCUCAGCACACUGACACACAAUGUGCAUUUGUAGAAUUGGUAAUCCUGGUUCACGCCGCUGUGGAACUGCCCUAAUGUAUCUCACAUGCCGCGUGGACGUGAUGUAUCGCACGCGUAAGUUAGAUUAGAAAAGAGCCACUUUUUUACAACAGUGUUCCAGUUGCAUAUAGAUUUAUCUCUUGACGGGUUUUAAUUCGGGUAAACAUUUCAAGGCGCUUGUUGCUAAAUGGUUGCGAUGGCUGCCAAAGAGAAUAACCACUUUCUAUGACAUUUAUGGAGCGUUUUAAAAUAAUUCAUUCUGCUGCUGUUGCUGUUUCAGAUUUCCAUCAGUCUCAACAUCCAUUGGAUGUUCGUUCUGGUUAAAUGUGCUGGCUCCAGCAAAGCACAUAUCAAAGGUGAUUUAAAAGGUAGGGGGAAAAGACAUCCUUGUAAUUGUCAGACUGAGUGCAAAUAUAAUUUCAUCCACAUUCGGAUGUGGAACAGGCAUUGCUAUAUGGUAUUCUUAUACAUGCAAAACUUCAAAUUGAUUUAACCUGAGGGUUAACCAUUGAACAGGGAAAUCCAAAACUCCACUUAACAUGCCUCUCCACGGUGCCAUUUCAUAUGUUUUACUAACGCAGUAAUUAUAAACUUGUUUGUAAAGAGGCUGCAAGAAUGUGUUCAUUGGUGAAUAUGAAAAACAUAUGUAAUAUCUAAUAUGUGGGGACGAAUUCUGGAUGAUUGGUUUCUGGCGUUUCGUGAACUGUGAACACUUUGAAGUCGAUUCCGUGUAAUCUCAAUGACCUUCAAUUGAAAACGGUUACUCAAGAGUAAUGCGAUCUUGUGAUCUCAAUUCAGCUAAUGACAGAGCUGUCAAAUGGAUGGACGUGCAGACAUCGUGUGCACAUUGCACCUGCUUGUUCAUCCGUGUAUUGCUCUGUAUCUUAGCAUGCUUGUUUGGAGUAUUUCUGUUCUAUUCGCAUGAGUGCAUACAUGUCUUUAUAGUCCUUUGUGGACUUUCAGAGCCCCUUUUGGGAACCAGUUUUCUAAAAGUUAAAUCAUAAAUAAACAGUGUCUAUUGUCUCAGCCCAUAAGAAGAAUAAUCGAUGUAGUCAUAUAGGAAAACCUCACUGAUUCUCAAGGCUUCUUCAGAAGUGACGUUGCAUAUAAAUGUUAGGCCAAUUCCUCAUUAUGAGCAUUAUGCAAAUUUCUCCCUAAGACAACCACUGCUGUCUAACCGCAAAGUGUACUCACUUUAUUGAAACCAGGGGGGUCAUGGGUUAAGCCGUGACUAUUCAACUUUGUCACGUUUGUAGUCUCUGCCAUGUGAAUGUGGAAUUUCCACUGCUGGUGCAGGGUCACCUCUGGUGAACCGGUUUCUCAUUGGAAACAGGACAAAAUUUGUAAUAAAAAGGACACUCAUUGACAAAUAGUUCUAAAGACUCAGUGAGACUUUCCUUGGUGAUGUUUAAACCUCGACACAAGAGUGAGGCGUAAGCUAAAUGUUUAAAUGUUGACGGUAUUAAGUGCGCACACACAACUCACUCUUGCACAUUCAGUAGAAGACUGAAGCAGUGUAGGAUUUCAAUGGGCCUCGCAGAGCGCCAUAUAUCGCAUUGUGACUCACAUCCACAAUCUCCACCGAACCUCACGUUCUCCUCAACCCCCCAUGUAAAUCUGCUCACUAUUAUUUACCAAGACCGCGUGCUUUGAUUGAAGUGUCACUGUCAGUUUUAUUUUAAUGCGGCCGCCUUUCAUGCCAAAAUAAAUGGCUUAAAAAUUCACAUAUACCGUAGAUCAUCAAAAUUCACAUAUACCGUAGAUCAUCAAAAUUCACAUAUACCGUAGAUAAUAAAAAUUCACAUAUACCGUAGAUCAUCAAAAUUUCACAAAUACCGUAGAUCAUCAAAAUUUCACAUACUCUAUACCGUAGAUCAUCACAUUGGUGAUUAAACCUUUCCAUAAGCGAUGGUGCAAUCCACAGGUUCAUAUUUCAUGUUGUGCCCGGGAAACUAGGCUACAAACAAAAAGUUAAUUAUGAAGACGUAAUGAAAUAAGUCGACAGUAUAUGGUGCAGUAAACGUAAUUUUUCUAUCAGGACAUUUAUUAUUUUUCGGCACAAGUUUAAGUAAAUAAAAAAAUAAGUAAAAACACAAUUUUGGUUACUCUAAAUAAAUACAACUAAUGCAACUGCCAUUUUAAAAAUAUUUAAAUGUGACCCAAUCAUGUUAUUUCAUGAUGGAAUACAUCUGUAUAUCUCUAUAAAAUGGCGGAACGGUGUGUUAUAAAUUAAUGUAUCUACAGUAUUUUAACAGUUGUAAACUGAUGGGGGUUUUUUAUAUGAACAUCAGUUGAUUAAUCUUUUCACUCGGAUUUAUGAAAAAAAAACUUACGACCAUAAUUUUAAUAUUUUUUUUAUAAAAUGGCAUAAUUUGACAACCUCACUAAUACGAUGUUUCAGGCGCCCACGAGUUAGUCGAUUAAUCAAGUUAAUUGGGCAAGUCUGGCCCAAACACGUGUGAGUGAUCUCACUUUUACGAGCACGGGGAAUCGGUCGUGAAGUACACCGUUUUUUAUUCUGCCCAUUCAAAUAGCCACCCCACCACAGCUGGGCGCUUUCAAUGUCUUCUCUGUGGCUGGUUCCGCAGGAAUUGUGUGACCUUCACUUAACAUGACCAGUGGACUGUGGUAGUAAUGACCUUCAUUUAUCCUCUCCAUUGUCAAGCAGGAAAUAUUAUUCCGUAGUUAAAUACAAUUGAUUGAUUUUUACAAAUCGAUUAUAUUUAAUUCUACUACUCUUUGAUUUAACCCCAAAUUCCUAAAUGCAUCCAUCUCCCCCCCCCAAUUGUUGCACUAUAAAAAGCUCAUAACACAGAUGGAUGAGUUGUCUUGUUAUUUGUGCUGGCUUGCUGCAGUUGUGUCUGCCUGGCAUCUUGUUAGUGUCAUCAGUGAUCAAUGAUCGUGGUUGUUUAUUUUACAUGGUCUUACGCAGGUCUUACGCAGGUUUGCCUCGCGCAAAAAGAAAGAACUCUUUUCUUGCUCGAGAAAUAAAUACCAGACGACCGCGGUGCACCAGCACCAAACUCUUGGCCUGCUUGCGAGGGGCACAUUUUGAUUUAUCUAACUGACGGCAGACAAUAAAGGAAAAGUCAGAUCGUCAGCAGUAAACUUGCAAAGGGGGAUGCUGCUGUCAGACCUUCCUGUCUGUUUGCAAUAGCUACAUUAAUUACGAGCUGUACAAAACAGAUGGCUGUUUACUCUGGGCAGUUCAAAAGAGGGUAAAGGUGAUUCAUAGCAACUGGGUGAUGCACUCCACUCCAGUUACUACUCCCAAGUCGAUGUUUGCUUCUAUAGCCGGUGUAGAGCAGCUCUGCUGCUCCAUCUACACAAGGUCAACCCAGCUUGAAAUUAUUAGUACUGUCUUGAUGAAAGCCACCUUGAGAUUGACAGCCUGACAUUAAUGCAUGGUGCUGACCACUCAGAAGUGAAUUGUACGUGAAGACCUCCUCCAGGUAGACCCACUUUCAAAUGACGAACCGUUGCCAGUGAUGGAGAUGCUGGAAAGAUGUACGGACAAUUCAGUGGCACAUGGUUGGAUUCCUAGUUAGGGAUUCCAAGUUGUGUUCCUAGUUAUGGUUGGAUCGCUUGUGCUGAAGUACCUGAUGGAAGCCUGUUACAGAUACUUAACCCAAUUGACUGUUUCACCACAACUUAAAACCCUGGAAUUGCCAUGGUGUUCGCAUAACAAACGUAGCUGAGCAGAGGUUAGCUCAGACGCUAUAUUUAUUGUAAUCGCCUCGCCUAGAUCGAUUUAACCACACGCAGGGAAUUGAGUAUAGUCGAGCUCAUGUGGCAUUGACCUCUAACUCUUUACAUGACAGAGAAUUGAGUGACUGCUAGCAGCCUUGCCCUGGUGGCCCUGUCAUUGUAUCACUAUGAGGUUUUUUGUAUUUAGAGCCCAUGUGUUCAUGGGACACUAUAUCUACAGCAAGACCUGCAACUCAGGUAUGAUGCCAAUAAAGUAGGGCUGAGUGAGACAUGCACCAUGGUCUCUUGUAUUUUGUGAUGUAAGCUAGUAUUAUAAUUGUAACUUACGUUGUAUACAGCGCCUCUUAAAACGCCUUCUGCUUUUUCUGAAACUAAUGAAGCCCCUGUGUGUUCCGUGGAGGCAUCGUGUUCUUUUAGACGUCGUCUGCACUAAAUGUCGUAGAUUGGUCCUGUGAGCUUUCAACCCUAGCUUUAACCCCAUGAAUUUACAUUAAAAUAUUGACGUAUUGAUUGGUUAGAAGGGAAUUCAGUCAUUAGCCCCUCAUUGCCACUCUACUAUUUUAUGGUAAAUUCAUGAAAGUAUAAAGCACUGUAUAGCAUUGCAAAAUACAGUUAGUACCUGCUGACUGAUGUGAUGUCAUCAUGUUACUGUUGCAUGAGUGUUAUGGUUAAAAAUAAAGCCUACUGCAGUUUUCCACCGCCAUACGUAUGUAAUGUUGUAAUGAAAUGCAAUAAUGAGCACUCUUUGACCAAUUCGGCGUAUACGGGCCAUUUACAUGGUUGCUCAGUUUGUAAAAGUUUAUGUCUCUGGUAUAGAUGCAUUUUGCACUGACGAAACUGUUUGAAUGGGCUGUAGUGUGCUAGUCUUGUGCCUACAAAAUUGCAGCUUCAGCCGUGCCUAUUAAAAGCUGAAAAUGCAUCAACGUACUUUGUGGCCAUUGAAGAAUACCAUAACCGUGCCGCUGGUGUUUGCUCAGCACGAGUGCUUGCUUAUUCUGGCUAAAAUUCAACUUUCCUGUUCACCUGGGAAUGAACCUUGGAGCGGAGCGCAUGCGCAAUGAUGGGUCGUAACGAUCCGGCCAUGUUGAGCGUUUUGUCUGUGACGUUGCCAGGACUCUACCCAGUACCCACCGUUCACGUCUCGUUUUGUUUUGUUGUCACACUCUUUGCAGGAGUGGGUUGACCAGGGUGGGAUGAUGGAAAGGAGCAUAAAACGUUGCUGCCUUAUGGUUAUUACAUUAUAGAAAGUAAUUUGAGCAAGUGUGUUAACUUAUUAGGAGUGUCUUGGAUAACGUGUAUUCUGUGGCAAGCAGUUAGUCUGUUUAUAGACUGCAUUAGGUCGAGUUUGCUUAGACAACAGUAUUGGAGGGCUUGUAGGACCUAUUAGUGGAAUUUGUCAAAUCAACAAUACAGUAUUUGGAAUAAAUGUACUGCUAUUUUCAAUUAAAUAAUAAUUACGCAAAUCAAGUGCGAGCUGUCUUCUAAAACUAACGUUUAACUGGCACUGCGAGCAAGGCAGAGCGGCAUCAGUUGUGAACCAAGCGUUGGGUUGGUUGGCCGUUUGUGUGACAUCACGUGCCCCUCUGUCAAGCAGGUGAUUUGGUCAGUAAAAUUAAUCAUCCAAGCUUGGUAGCAACCUCUGCCAAAAAUACAUGCAGUAUGUAGAGUGAGUGUUCCAAGUGAAAUGUUAAGAGUGAGUAGCCAUCGAUUGCGAACUCGGAGAGAAUUUUAUAUUUUAAAAAAAAUCUAUGGUGCAUGAAGGAUCGGUUACUACGUAUGGAUGUCUUAACAUCUGCUACAGUAUUAUAUUUGACAUUAUUGCAGCUGGGUUUACCAACAUUUCCAUGACGGUACUCGUUAUAUUUAAGCUAAAAAUGAGUAAUCAACAGAGAAAAAAAACUAGCUCUUUUUUACUUAAUGUCAAUGCUUUAUUUUAAAUGUUUGUGCUCUGACUUCUAUUAAUUUGCAGCUGUAAACAUGUAACUAUUACACAGCCAUUUGAAACUAGUGUUAAAUGGGUUAUUCAUCCAUAGACCUUUUAGAUAUUUUUCAAUACUAAUAUUUGCUUGAGAAAGGUUUUUGCGGUUCAAUUUUUUACUUGAUUCAUCCGAUGAAUUUUUUACAAUCUUACUUUUCCUUGUUUAAAAUUUUUUGUCAAAAAAAUAUUAAGUGCAUUUUAAACACCGAUGUUGUGCUGGCAAAUGCCCAAGACUUGAGAAAAAUUGUGCAAUUGUACUGUACAAUAAAAUGGACAAACAGUUGGUUUGUGACAAAAACA